AGCUUUGUGCAGUGGCAGUAUCGUAGCCAAUGAGGUUUAUUCGAGGCGCGAUUAUUGCUAAUUGAAAAAUUAUUCAUUCUAAUCAUUGGUACAUUUUAGGUAUACAAUAC
rnacentral:snRNA from 1 species